UGGGCGGGACUUGUUGCAUUGUUUAAAAAAAACGGACGUGUGGUGUUAUAUCCGCUUCAUGCACCUCAAACGUUUGUUUGUGGACCGCCAUUAUACGCACAGAAGGAAGGGUUGGUGUAACGUUAACGUGUGUCGUCGUCGUCCUAGUAGCAGUGAGGCUCUGCGUUAACAUAGAGAUGGUGAAGAUCUUUAUUGGAAACCUCCCUAACGAGGUCGAAAAGGAUGAGAUUGAGGCCCUGUUUACUGAACAUGGCACAGUGACAGAAUGUGCAAAGUUCAAAAACUAUGCCUUUGUCCACAUGGAUGACCGCAAGUCUGCAACCAAAGCCAUCCGCAGCCUGCACCUCUUCAAGCUUCAUGGCAGGCCAAUCAAUGUGGAGCCGAGCAGGGGAAAGAACCAGGGUCCAGUGAAACUUCAUGUGGCCAAUGUGGAGAAAGGCAACGGUGAUGAGCUCCGCACUCUGUUCGAGGAGUAUGGAACAGUGACAGAAUGUGCCAUCAUAAAAAAUUUCGCAUUCAUUCACAUGUCCAACUCAGAUGAGGCCAAGGAUGCCAUAAAGGGAUUAGACAACACUGACUUCCAAGGCAAACGGAUUCACGUUCAGAUGUCAAAAAGCCGUCCCAGAGGGGAGGAAGAGGAUUACGGCCCUCCACCAGAUAGGGGUGGAUACUGGCCACCAUCCCGUGGCUACCCUGGGGACAGGGGUCUGCGUGAGCCCCCUCAUUACAGAGGUCGCAUGUCAGGGGGUUACCCUGGCCCCCCCUCCACCUCCCCCUAGACGAGUCCCUUACCCCCCAGAGCGUGCUUAUGAGCGUGAGAGGGAAAGCUACGGGGUGGUCGAUUACUAUGAGAAGUACAGAGCGCGCCCUGCCCCUUACGGUGGCCUUUCAGGCUAUGGAGAUGAAAGGCGUGUUGGUGCCAUACCCCCUCCACCACCACCCCCUUCUGCCAUGGUUAGGGAGCGCCUUGGGGCCUCCUCCCUCAACCCAUACGAGCGCCGCCCCCUCCCUCCUCCGUCCUCCUACUAUGCCCGUGAUCGCAGUCCCAUCAGAAGACCCCCUCCCCCCAUGCCCCCCCGCAGGUAACGGCUACUCCUAUGAGCGCUCUCGGCUCUCUCCUCUGUCCAGGCCAGCGAUGUACAGCGUACCACGUACCAGAGACCCCUAUGCUGAGAGGGUGCCUCUGCCCCCUCCUGCCCGCUACUCGUAUUGAAAGCACACUGGUGCUUGACUCAAGGGUUAAAUUAUCCGACAAGAUCGUCGUCUCCUGAUGCACGUGGCACUAUACCCCCCCUUCGUCUGUGGCGUUGCGUUCACCUGCGACUUACUGGAAGAUACUCUAUUGCUUGCGGCCACCCAUACAAAAAAAUACGCUUUUGUCUACGGUUUCGUCCUCUUUCUUGAACUGUUUUACAUUUGUUCUGCUUGAUUUUAUUGUUCGAGGUUCAUAAGCUGUUUUGGGGCAAAGGAUAAAGGCAGAGGGGGUUACUGUAUUUGAGGUGUUAUUCUAUUUUGAAAUGACGCAGUACUCCUAAGGGCUCUAUGUUGGCCUAAGACCUAACAUAAAAUUUCUUCCUUCAUAAAAUAAUUUUCAUGGAUACAAACCCUCUAAACUGUGAUAUUCAUGAAGGGACUAUUUGAAUGUUAAUUAAAUAGCAAUCCAUGUAAUUUUGGUAAACAUGAAUGUUACGAAGAUUCUGCAGAUGUCUUUUUCAGAGCUGUACCUAGCUUCAGUUUGAUUAAUAAACCACACACUCAUUUGCAUAAUUAGUCCAACAACGUGUUAGUGUAAUAUCGCUUUAACUGGUGUGAUCUUGGUUUUGGGUGGUACUUACCAGUAUUCAAGACGUUUUGCGACGCAACUGUUAGCGUAGUGAUUUAACUACCUAUGCAAAUUUGAUUUGUUAGACAUUUUGUGUUCAAUUAUAUGCCGAUUUUACAUACCUAGAUACCCCAAAGCUGCGUUUUAUGUAUGGUUUUCUUUUCUUUACAGAUGCCAUUUUUGAUUUCAAAGCUUUUUAAUAAACAGAUUUGAACUAUCGUCACUGAA